rnacentral:rRNA from 1 species
CGUGUAGGCGGAUAGAUAAGUCAGAAGUGAAAUCCUGUGGCUCAACCAUAGAACUGCUUUUGAAACUGUCUAUCUAGAGUAUGGGAGAGGUAGAUGGAAUUUCUGGUGUAGGGGUAAAAUCCGUAGAGAUCAGAAGGAAUACCGAUUGCGAAGGCGAUCUACUGGAACAUAACUGACGCUGAGACGCGAAAGCGUGGGGAGCAAACA